AGUGAACGCUGGCGGUAGGCCUAACACAUGCAAGUCGAACGGCAGCACAGUAAGAGCUUGCUCUUACUGGUGGCGAGUGGCGGACGGGUGAGGAAUACAUCGGAAUCUACUUUUUCGUGGGGGAUAACGUAGGGAAACUUACGCUAAUACCGCAUACUACCUACGGGUGAAAGCAGAGGAUCUUCGGACCUUGCGCGAUUGAAUGAGCCGAUGUCGGAUUAGCUAGUUGGCGGGGUAAAGGCCCACCAAGGCGACGAUCCGUAGCUGGUCUGAGAGGAUGAUCAGCCACACUGGAACUGAGACACGGUCCAGACUCCUACGGGAGGCAGCAGUGGGGAAUAUUGGACAAAGGGCGCAAGCCUGAUCCAGCCAUACCGCGUGGGUGAAGAAGGCCUUCGGGUUGUAAAGCCCUUUUGUUGGGAAAGAAAAGCAGCAGGUUAAUACCCCGCUGUUCUGACGGUACCCAAAGAAUAAGCACCGGCUAACUUCGUG
rnacentral:rRNA from 1 species